rnacentral:tRNA from 1 species
UUCCGGAACUGGAGGAUUGUACGUUCCGGGUGGCCUGUGAUGUCACAAAUCCGCUGUGCGGACCUGUGGGAGCCAGUGCCGUUUUCGGCCCCCAGAAG